rnacentral:lncRNA from 1 species
UUCACACUGAGUGCCACUUGUGCCUUUGUCUGUUUUCUCUGUCCCUGCUGUUUAUAGCACACACAGAGAGCACAACAUCCUCUACAACGGAAUUGCCAACCAUUUCCUCAUCACCAGAGACUCCCACCACGACCACCGGUACAACUACCACCACACCCACCAGCACCACUACCUCUCCCACCACCACAACCAGUGGACCAACGACAACAACUGUUUCAACAACAACCACCACAGAGAGCACAGCAUCCCCUACAACGGAAUUGUCAACCAUUUCCUCAUCACCAGAGACUCCCACCACGACCACCGGUACAACUACCACCACACCCACCAGCACCACUACCUCUCCCACCACCACAACCAGUGGACCAACGACAACAACAACUGUUACAACAACGCCCCCCCCAGGUAUGUUCCAAAACCAAAUAAUUCCUGCUAAAAGCCCUGUGCCUCCAACUACAGUAGCAACAGA